ACAGUGAGAAAGUGGCCAAAUGCAAGCCAAGAAGAGCAGCCUCAGAAGAAACCAAACCUGUCCACACUUUGAUCUUGGACUGGCAGCCUCC